rnacentral:lncRNA from 1 species
UAAAAGUCAAGGCUAAAAUGAAGUUAAGUUUGUAACCAAAAGGGCAACCAGGUCAUUUGUGCUCGGCACUCGCCAGGUGUCGAUCACGAACAGGGUUCGGCUCGGAUCCCAAAGGGGAAUUUGGGUCGGGUCCUGUCACCAACGAUGCAAAUUUAAUUCUUAUUGAGAAAACUCUAACUCUCACCAACAACAAUGAAGGAUGGGGAUGGAUAAUUUUGGUGGAGCAAUGCAGGUAAUGAGAGAAGCAGAGUAGAGAAUAAGGUAAUUGAGUGGACUCCAACUCUCAGCCACGUUCUAGCGAUACUCCUAUUAGAGUGCAACAACAAUAGAGGAAGGAAAUGCUGGAGAUGCGAGGAAGAGUUGAGAAUAUACGUGAGGCCACUUACCAAGGAUGCUAGCUGUUGAAGCCCAAAAAGUCACGGGAAGCCCAAAGACAGUUAAAGCUCAAUAUAACAUAUAAUGUCGGUCAUGCAUUAAUUCAAGCUGUAUUUUGUGAUUUAAUUUAUUAAAUAAAUAUAGAAAUAAGCCGAUCACCUAUCAAGCUCACGUGAACCCAAUUCAUGUGGUCUAUGGGGCUUGCAUGAGGGAUUGUGGUGUGGAAGGUUCCUUCCAAGCUAUAAACACCAUAGCCUUCAAACCUCAAGCUUUUUCUUUCAUCCUCCUUCCCUUGAAACUCUCAAAUCCCCAUAGCCAUAGUCACAAAAAACAGAUUAUCAACACCCAAACUCAAGCAUAUCUAACACCAAGCCAAGUAUAUGCAUUCUCAUUUGCUAAACUUGUGGGUCUUUAGCUCCCACACUCCAAGAUCUCAUGCCAAGCCUAGUAGUACCUUGAUUCACUAAGCAAACUUUCAUGCCAAGCCUGUUCAACAUCAAUACACCAUUUUCAACUCUUCGUCAAGCUGCCGAAAACAUCAGUACAAAACACGCAGCCGCUAGAAGAAGAACAAAGUACUCUCCUGAGACUUGCUUCUCCCUCGGGAUACUUUGGGCCUAGUGCUCGCUAACUCAGACAAAGGGGCAACGAAGUCUUCAUUUAUCACUCUAUAGCGAUCCAAGAAUCAACAAAGCCCGGAUAAGCCUUCGGACGAAAAAUACCCCAACACUGGCUAGGGUUUUUUAACUUUUUUUUUUUAGUUUUUAGUUUUUUAGUUUUUUGUUUUUUUGUGUUGUUGUUUUUUAAUGAUUAUUGAAAAUUGAAUUAAAAUAAAAUAGAAUACACAUGACAACAUUCAUUAAUUGACAUGGCAUGACACAUCAAUUGCCACAUAAAGUGGUCAGCUAAGGUGGUCAAUGUUGUGUGUCUAAAUAUCACUACUCUUUUUGUUUAUUGAGCAAUAAGGUAGAACAAUCAUUUGUCCUCGAAUUGUUUGGACUUAAAAACCACAUGGGCAAAAGUGGCCAAAUUGAAACAACAUGGACCUUAGUGGUAAAAGUGGGAAACCCGAAAGACAAAAAGUGAAUAGCUCCGUCUCAGAACUUUGUGGGGUUAGGAGUAAAGCAUCUCGAGGUUGGCGUAUCUCGUUGGGCGUGGAGAAGCAUUGGGAACCCCAAUUUAUUUCUUCGGAGCCGUUUCUUUUACCCUUUUUUUUUUAAAGACAAUAUUCUACUUUAAUAUAAUCUAAACUACAGUGAGGGGGAUUCAAACUCGGGUGCAGAGUGGGGAUCUCUAGUCAACUUGACUAAAGCUCAUGUGUGUUUUUAUGUUAAGUCUUUUUUGUUUUUGGUAAAAAAUGUUAGGACUUUCAUAUUACAUUACAUGCUAGUUGUGAAUUGAUUAUUAUAAAUUAUAUUCGUUCCUUC